AUAAUAAUCUAAAAAGAAAUAAUAAUAAUAAAAACAUCACUGAAACAUACCACAUCCCAUUAAAGGAAUACAAAUACAACAGCUUUGAGAAGAACUACUGUACAAUACUGAGGCCAUCACAGAUACAGCUACACUUCAGUAUGAUAUCCCAGUAUCAUGAGAUACUGCUGCUGAGAAAUGGGUUGAUGUGUUGAUUAGCAUAACAGCUGCUCACGUCAACUCCUCAACGGCAUUUAGCGUUUUUCCACAACAGCUGACCACACAACAUGAUGUAUCUCUUCAUGAGCCAGGCUAUUGCCAUUUGAGAGCUUUUGCCGUGAAAAACUAAAUUCUCUCAAGUGUAUAUGUCGUAAUACCGUUGGGAGUGCUCUAAAUACAGUAUAGUGCCAACAUAUUGGCUCUACACAGUAUGAUGAGAAUAGCCAAUUUUCUAUUGCUCACUGAUAUGACCAUAUAUGACUUCACUACUGUAUGUGGAUAUGUGUGGGUCCCUGUCAAUGUGUUUGUUUCUGUGUGUGUCCCUUUGCCUAAGCCGUGGCUCUUUUUUGCCAAAGGUAAUGGUUUCUGUAUGUAAUGAAACCAUUUGGCACACUGAUCCUUUGCCAUUAAGACUUUGUGGCUUUUGAGUGGGGAGAGAAAAAGUCAAUUACAGAAGUGGAGUGAGCCCAGCGCUCAGCAAAGCCUGGCUUUAUGGUAGCAAUUGCACAAGUAUCUUACACCUUUGAACAAAAUGAUGAGGCCAGGAAGGAGAUAUAUUUGGUAAAAUUUCAACUGGGUAACCUUUCAGAACCACACAAAACAAAAAUCCACCCUGCUGCAAGAGAACUGCUCUGUCCCUUUACAAGACAUAAUCAUGUACUAAAAUUAGUUUGACACACCAAGUCAUCUUAUCCACUGUAAUCAUUAAACCAUUACAAGAGGUUGGAUAGAAAUGUAUAAAUUACAAUGUAUUCUGAAUUCACAUGCCACACAAACAUGCAUCUACAGUUACCAUACUGCAGAUGGUAAAGAUAUAAUGGGAUUCCUGUGGAUUUCUCCACAGGAAGGUCAGAGGUGAGGUUGAGCUACAGACUAGCCUCGCUGGAGCUAGUAAGGACUGAGUGAUUUGCUCAAGGACACUUCAGCAGGGUGGAUUCUUGCUGACGAGGGGGCUCGACCCAGAGCCCUUCAGCUGAAGAGCAGUCUCCAUCCUCACUAUGUUGUCUGUCAAAACUAGCAUAAUGAAUUGCAGAUUGCCUUACCAGUUUCUAUAUUACAUGAUGCAUACUAGCUAUAUAUGACGUUAGCCCUGAAUGAAUCAAUCAUAAAUUAGAAUGAAUAAAAAUACUUAAUACGUUUUAUUAUGAUGUUGCUCAAAAUACUCUCAACUUGGAAAUAACUGCAGCCUCUGAAACUGCAAACUCUGCAUACACAUCACACAGCUCACUGUGUGUGAGUGACUGUGUGGUGUAGUGGACUCAGUGUCUUUUACUUCAGUUCUCAGUGACAAGAGUGCCGUUUCUUUGUAGUUGAAGUGCAUGACUGCAUAGCAUCAAAGAGGACAAACUAGGCUCUUUAUUGAAGUGUAGCCGCACUUUCGACCUCCUCUUUGUACUCCUUCCCAUGCACUUCAGUAAAAAGGAAACUGCUCCUAUGCUACAGAGCUGAUCUAAACACAUUCUGCUUCCACACAAGCCUCAACAUAACUCUCAGUCACUCAUACACAAAAAAAUAGUUAAAGGAGGAGGAAUGGAGAGCAAAACAAUAAGGUGAGAAAAAAAUGCAUUUCAAAAGAGAGGGGAAGUCUGCCAGAGUAGAUACGGCGAAAACAUUUAAAUCCAUUUGGUUCAGGAAACAGUGACACUGGUUUGUGGAUGGGACAGGGUCUUGGUUCACAACCCUAAUAUCCAAGGCAGUUCAUGAUGGUGACUUAAAUAGAGAGAGACAGACAGUGAGGACACAGAUGUCUGACCUUGCAGUGGUGCUUAUGUAAUGGUCUGCUUCAGUGCAUUUAACUGCAGUGUUCCUUUCCAACCUGGGAUCAGUAAAGGCAACAUGUCUCUGCAGUCCAAUCUCCUCUGACAUCAGCUCUGACACUCAGAGAGUAUGAAAAGGUCCUGUGAGCUCUGAGUGAAUCAGUUGUUAUGGCCCUGCAUGUGCGGUCCCCAUAGAGCCAAUCAUACUAAUUAAACUAGACUACUUAAGCCUCCUCUCAUUAGUGUCCAAGUAAACAGCCUUAAUUUUUUAUGCAUUUUAAUGUCCAUCUCCCAGUUCUGAGGGUGGCAGUGGAGGGGACAGAUGAACGAUAAAGGGGGAUAAUUUCAGGUUUUCAGAGUUUCAAAGUGUCAUUUCACCAUUCAAGUUAAAUAUGUGUUUGUGGAUUUGCACUGAUCAGUGCGAACUUGCUUUUGUAGGAAUUACUAAUUUAGCAGGAAAAAAAGAAUGUAUUAAUGUUAGUAAUCAUAAUAAUAAAAAGAAGCAGCUUUGCUGACAUUAUUUCAUGAACAUGAUUUUAUAGCUAAGUUAAAACACUAACAGACUCCAUUAUAUGUUAGUCAGCUCCAUGCACUGCAGUUACACAAUCUGCUCCAGAUACCAGGGGCAAGCAGGGUAAAAUGUGGCAUGACCCAAAAAUAGCACUGCAACAUUGGCUUCCACUUGAUUACUGGAGCUGUAAGCAAUGUUUCCACACAUGGGCGGAGGUAUACAGAGGGCUGUGUGCCAUGAUUAUGAAUAUAUGCAUACAUGUUUAUAUACGUAUGUAUGGUCCAUGCACUAGGGAAAGAGUGGAGAGCAACUGGAGGGCUAUUAGCCCAGUCAGCAGUAGGGAGGGAUGGAAGGAUAGAGGAAAAGGAGGAGGGAGCUGGGUAGAGACCUAGCAAGUACCCAACUUGCUCGGCCUGGAGCUCUCGAACAGUGGGUGGCAUCAAAACAACAGGCAGUAGACACUGAGCAUGAUCUCACAGACACACAUAUUGUACUCCUCUGCCUACUUCCAUGUCUGUGCUCCUUUUCUGUUCUCCUGCUGGUCUCCAGCAGUGUCCAAAGGUGGCAGUCAUGUACGAGGCAGGGCAGCUCAAGUUUCAUUUCUAGACCAGCAGCUCAACAGUCGAGACAUAAUGAGCUUUAGCGUUGCCACUCUGCCUCUUACAGCAGCUCAUCUUCCCCACCACAGGAACCUAGAAUGGGGGUCUCCAUAGCAGACUGUUUGCCUGCUUCAGAGUGUGAGGAUGUCUCUGCUGUCCUAGGGACUUUGUUUUAGGGGUGCUGCCGGAUCGUGAGAUCUCAGCAAUUAAUUUACUAUUAUCACCUUCAACCAUAAGUCUGGACUAAAUUACCUAUUAAGAGGAAGUCCUUCAGGCCAGAAAUGAAUCACUGGAGCCACCCUUGAUAACUCUUUCGUCAUUGUGUGUAAGCUACACCUCAGAAAUUGACCUCGGAAACCUCUUUCAGGCUUUUGUGUCCUCAGUUCUCGUCAGACCCUUUCCCCUCUCUCGCAGACAAAAAGAAAUGCAACUCAGAGAGGCGGUGAGGGGGACCUUAACCUGGUAUGGAUGAAGUAGGACGGAGGCUACGCCAGAAAAAAAUAGAAAUCCUCAUCAGCUGCUGAUGAGAAGUCAUCACCAGGAAGCUACAGAUGGAUAGCUUUCACAAAACCCCUCAUUGUUUGUUUGGUCUGAAAAGAACUGUGAUAUGAUACAAUGAAAAGCUAUCACGGACCGCAAAAUAUUGGAUAUUAUGUGUUUGAUACUGUCUUACUG